GUGAUUGGAUGAGAGUGGUUUUCGUGCGCUCGUAGGCUAUUUUCAAAAAUCAUAUAACAAAAAGCCGCUUAUAUUUGCAAAUAUAAUUGAUAAACAUUUGUGUGCGACUUGCAGGACUUAACCGUUUGUGUCUUUACGAGUGGUUUAAGGUAUUGGUGUUGUAAUCUAGAGCUAUACAAGUUUCAGUUUUCAAGCCUUCGACCCUGCCACUAAAUGGAGGUUCUCUUGGUAGUCGUUAGUUAUAGGCCCAGGUCAAACUUUAAACAUCACAAGAGACGAACUAUAAUUGCAAUUUGAGUCGAUCCAAACGAGUAAAGCUCGACCGUUUGGUGAAACGUCGAACUUAAUUCGAAUUUAGAUCUAAAUUCAGUCGGACAAACUCUGUUGAGUCAAACGUCGAAGUUUAAUAUCACGAACGUACUUCGCUCAGUUUAAUUCGUCUUAUGUGAAGUUCGACGUUUGACCUGGGCCUUAAUCACGCAUUGUGAAUAACUAACCGUUCUGCCUCCCACCAGUUGAGAUUUGUAGCCUUGUUUUGUUUAUUUGUAAUGUUUGUUUCGUCUGUUUGAGUGUGACACCUCGAAACUUAGUAGUUCAGUGUAGCUCGAGGCUAAGUACAUUGACUAAAUAUGUCAUUCUUAAUUCAAUUCAUUUCCUCAGAUGAGCCCAUCCAUGAGCCGGAUCAUGUUGACGGCUGUGAUCCCAGGAAUCAUGGCGGGCAUUUUAAUCAUCCUUGUUUCACUUCUGUUGUGUUUCCUUGCCAGAAGAAUGGGUCAUUUGAUACGUGUUGGAGCUGACAGAGACGGGGACGGAGAAGACAGGGUACACUCUUUUAGUGAGGACGCUACCAUUCAUGGAAGUGAAGAAAAUGUUUCUGUUUAUGAAUUGGUUGAGAGGGGAAAUUCUUCAGGUGUAAAUGAAACUCAAGGAUCAGUUUCAAAUGCUGUGUAUCAAAAAGAUGAUCAGAUUGAGUUCCAAGAACCUUCAAACCACGCCAAAAUGCCUGAUGACGCGGUAAACAUAUAUGCCGAACCAUUUGGACACAUUGCUGGUACAAAUGUACACACUGAUUCUGCUUUAACCCCCUUGGAUAAUGCUCUUAGAUAUCAGAAUCUCCUGGGGAAAAAGUUAGAAAGUGUGGAAUAUGCGUCGAGAUAUUCUGUGCCUCAAGCCAGGCCCUUACACCACGAAGGCUCGGAUAAGACAAUGGAAAAUGGGCCCACUACAUGUACGAGCGCGCCAUCAUCAAGUACCGCGGAGGGCCCUUCAAACAUGGAACGUAGGGAGAGAUACACAUUAAGGGACAUUUUAGUUGAGGACUUAGACAUAGAAACGUCCGAAGCUCCUGAGGACCUCUUUGAGGAAAUACGAUUGCGACCUUCAUUGCUCAUUGAGGAAAGAACAAUCCCUGGUCAGAGUGAAGACUGUGAUAAUAGGUGUAGUGCAAACACUUUGGAAGAGAAUUUAAAUUCAUCAAUUGAACUGAACAAGACAUCUCAAACCUCCAAAAGACAGAUCGAGCAACUGGAAAGGCAUCCAUGUACGGUGCACGAAAAGUCCAAAGAGAACAAAACUAAAGUCAGUUCCUUGAGAAAAUUCAAGACUUUCUUUAAACUGACACUUUAGUUGUAUACUGACUUCCACUGAGUCGCAUGGAUAGUUUGAAACUUGAACUAUCGUGUUUAGGAAACUAUUAAAAGAGUUUAAGAAACUACGGCAAUCAAACUGAGGGAAGCGAGUCAGGUCUCGCUAUAAUCUAAAUGAUUUCAGUUUGUCUCUCAUAGACAAAUAGGUGCUAAAGGCAAAGAGGCUUGAAACCUUCUCUGCCGUAACCCAGAACUUGGCCAUUUCACGUUUGUUUGUUUUUUUAGAAAUGACAAGACAGGGACAAGGAGGUAUUACGCUUGUGCAGAUCCACUGUGCCACCUGUUAAACAUAGUAAAUGUCAAAAAUGUCAUUCCUUUUUACUGAGAAAAGCAGCUUAGCUUAGAUCUUAGAAGGAAUUCUCUAUCUGAAGAGGGACAAACGUAAAUGUCGCGUUUCUCUAUCCCGAGAUGUUGGACAGGAAAAAUAAAAUCAGAACUACAUAAAGCUCAUUCUUUGUCAGGUAAACAUUGAAGAUAGUCGGACGAAAUCUCAAUUAAACCUUAACAUAGUUUGUUUUUCAAAGUUAAUCUUAGCAGAUUUCCUUUAAACAUACAAACACGAUUUAAAAACUUCGACUCGAAGUAUAAAACUUGACCACCCUGAAGGACCUCCUCAAGUAGAGAAGCAAUUUUAUUCAGUUCACGUUGUUACAAGUAAUUAAAGGGCAAGAGUUAGGUUAACACUAUUUCCGUAAGUUCCCUUUUACUGACACGAAAUAAGCCCCACAUGUGGAUUUCUUUCACGUAUGACUCUUGAUCUUGUGGUGUUAACACUUACUUAUAAAUUUCCGUCAUUAGUAAUUACCGACCAGUACUGGCUCGCCAUCACUUUUAAUAAACAAAAAAUGCGGCCAUAUGUAUGAUUUUUUAUAUCUCUUAAGUCCUAAAUUUUGCUGACUCUUUAACAAACAGGGUUACAGACAGUCUGUGGGCGCGACAACCAACUCACCCUCCCCUUCCCCAAAACAGAAGUUAAUCUUAACAGUUAUCAAACCGCAGUCCUCUGAAUCAUGCAGAACUCAUAAACGCAGGUUUCUUCUAAAAAGAUCUUCAAAAAAUUCACACAAACAACAUAGGAGUCGUAAAGAGCAAAAAUCGUUCUAGUCUUCCCGCAAAUUUACUGCUUGGUGAAGCUUUUUGAAAUUCAAAUUACGUUCACUCAUUACUAUUCAUAUUUCAUCUUUAACUUCGCACGCGGUAACUGCCGAGUGACGGGAAAGUAAAGUUGCUUUGAUUCUCCGUUGAAUAAUCUUCAAGACACUAGUUCCUGCGUGGAAAAUGUAUGUACUGAACGACGACCAGGAGGCCUUUCUCUUACCGUGCACUGAAAGGGGGCAGUGAACAAAUGCUGAAUGUAUACAUAUCUAUUGGCAGAGGAGAUGCAGACUUUCAAGCACACUGUCUACAGUGUCGAGGUAACUCAUUUCUAUAGUUUCCUUACAUUUAGUCUUCUCUAAGCAUGUUGUUGAAAGACGUUUAUUUCUUUACUUUUUACAUUCCCAACGUGUUAUAGAAUUCAAAACGGUUUAGUUGCUCCACUACGUCGAAACCGAAGUUUAUAUUUGCAUAUUUAAACGUUGUUUACCUGGAAUUACAUGGUUGAAAUUGUCUUCGAGCGAGAUCUGCACCCUGAUUUUCUGGAAUUGUUUUUUGGGUGAAUCGUUCGUUUUUGUGCUCGUUACAAAAAGGAAAAAUCGUCAUAUACGAAAGUUUUUUUGAGUUAUGUUUUUAAAAGGAUUAUUUUUCGCGUGAAGUUUCCGUUUCGAAGAUCGGGCUUGGACUGGUACACAAAACUAAUCGCUCACUCUUCAAUACAUUUUUGAACAUUUGACGCAAAAUUCUUAUACUUUAAAGUCAUUGGGUGUUUUCAACAAGUUGAUUUUUCCCAUUGAUGAGCUAGGGUGUUUGUUCAGAGAAGUUGUUAUUGUUUCGCUAGUGCAUUAUUGACGUUACAUCUAAGUUCAAUUUUUUAUAUUUUACAGGGAGUUGGCGUGGGAAUGUAUAUUUUCCGGAAUUUGACGAGUCAUGCUCAUAUCUCUUUUCGCAGUCGUCUUCUCGAUGUCUCAAGCAAGAUUGUCGACUUCAUGCAUCAACAAAGACAACGCCGUAAGGUGGCAUGGAGGAAGACACUUUUGAUUGCCUCAGUCAAGUGCCUGGAGCAGAUUGUCCACUAUAUCUCUGGAAUCAGCGCAAAAAAGCCAAAAGGUAAGUAAAAUAUUCCUUUGGAAAAUUAGCAAGAAAUUUGGAAGUGCUGGGUUAUAACCCUCUUGCUGGGGUAACCCUAGCUCUAGGGUUACCUUACUUCCUAGGGAGGGCCUUGUUAUAGUCUGAAGCAAAAGAGUUGGGUGUUGAAGGGCUGAAGGCUUGUGUCGGAUAUGCAGGGAAAUAACGUUUAGAGACCGGUGAGAGAGAUGUCUGGUAGAAGAUUUCAAACAUUUGACGUCACUGCUUGAUUUGGUUUUCAGUUAUAUACGAGAUGUUACUGUCCAUCAUCUUCUGGAUACUGGCUGAAAAGGACUGUGAACCGCAUGUGUGGAACAAGCUCAAAAUCACGAGACAAAUGAAGGGAGUCGUGUUGGAGAGGAAGCUGAGUUGGUGAAUUGGGAACAAAGAUCUUUAUGUCACAUGGAUGAUAUGAUAGCGAUAUGAGGUAUGUUUUAUUCAUUGAUUGAUCUAUAUAAUUAUGUUAAGAGUGUAUGCCUGUAAAAAUCAGACAAAUUCUUAAUUUCGCGGCGAGGGUCGAAAAUUCGAUUUCGCUCAGCUUUUCACAUUUUGUAAACUAUCUUUUUGAAAUUGAUAGUUGCUUUUUAUAAAUGUCAAAUGCGGUCUUUAUCAACUGAUUGUCAAGGUAAUACAGA